AACCUGCCCAGCAGAGCGACCCGUGAACACGUUCAACCUCGUGGGCGUUGGGGCGAUGCUCGGUGCCUCGUGUGCCGGCCCGUCCCUCUCCCAAGCCGGGGGAGCGCUCACUUGUGGGCUGUUCCCCCGGCAAAACAACGAACCCCGGCGCGUAAUGCGUCAAGGAAUACAAACAUUAUGUGUGUGCUCUCCCGUCGCCCGGUUAGCCGGGCGUUGGAGCGGUGCCAUGUCUUAACAAUAAACGACUCUCGGCAACGGAUAUCUCGGCUCUCGCAUCGAUGAAGAACGUAGCGAAAUGCGAUACUUGGUGUGAAUUGCAGAAUCCCGUGAACCAUCGAGUUUUUGAACGCAAGUUGCGCCCGAAGCCUUUGGCUUAGGGCACGUCUGCCUGGGCGUCACGCAUCGCGUCUCCCCCAAAUCCACCCCGAGUGGAGGGGAAGGAGGAUGGUCUCCCGCGACUCACCGGUCGCGGCUGGCCUAAAAUUGGAGCCCUCGGCAUCGGGAUGCCGUGGCGAUAGGUGGUGAACAAGGCCUCGGCCAAGCAAGCAACCCGCCACGCGUCGCGAUGCCAACGUGAGCUCGAAGGACCCUUUUAGUUGCCUAACGGCAACCUAACCGUUGCGAC
rnacentral:rRNA from 1 species